rnacentral:sRNA from 1 species
UCAAGAGCAGUAUUUGGAGUUUCCAUUUU